UACGAAGGUUGCUAGCGUUGUUCGGAAUCACUGGGCUUAAAGCGCAUGUAGGCGGCUCAUCAAGUGCCUUGUGAAAUCCCACGGCUCAACCGUGGAAUUGCUUGGUAUACUGUUCGAGCUUGAGGCAGGUAGAGGCACGUGGAACUCUUGGUGGAGCGGUGGAAUGUGUAGAUAUCAAGAGGAACGCCGGUGGCGAAAGCGGCGUGCUGGGCCUGUCCUGACGCUGAGAUGCGAAAGCCAGGGGAGCAAACGGG
rnacentral:rRNA from 1 species